CAAACUUGUGUUCUGAGAUUCAAGAUAGUAAGAUGUGAGCUGUGCAUUGUCCACAAGCAGACAGUCCCAAAAGUAUUUUUAAGUUCACAGGACAUUGGUACUUGCAGGACCGGACUAGGAUUCAUAGGACCUAAACAUCAUGUCAGCGACUUAAAUUUAUUAUGCCCCCCUUCGAAGAAGAGGGGGUAUAUUGCUUUGCUCAUGUCGGUCGGUCCGUCUGUCGGUCCGUCCACCAGGUGGUUGUCAGGCGAUAACUCAAGAACGCUUAGGCCUAGGAUCAUGAAACUUCAUAGGUACAUUGAUCAUGACUCUCAGAUGACCCCUAUUGAUUUUGAGGUCACUAGGUCAAAGGUCAAGGUCACUGUGACCCGAAAUAGUAAAAUGGUUUCCGGAUGAUAAUUCAAGAACGCUUAUGCCUAGGAUCAUGAAACUUGAUAGGUAGAUUGAUCAUGACUAGCAGAUGACCCAUAUUGAUUUUCAGGUCACUAGGUCAAAGGUCAAGGUCACGGUGACCCGAAAUAGUAAAAUGGUUUCCGGAUGAUAAUUCAAGAACGCUUAUGCCUAGGAUCAUGAAACUUGAUAGGUACAUUGAUCAUGACUCGCAGAUGACCCCUAUUGAUUUUCAGGUCACUAGGUCAAAGGUCAAGGUCACAGUGACAAAAAACAUA